rnacentral:rRNA from 1 species
UAAUGUAUGGGGAUCUGCCCGAUAGAGGGGGAUAACUACUGGAAACGGUGGCUAAUACCGCAUAAUGUCUACGGACCAAAGCUGGGGCUCUUCGGACCUUGCACUAUCGGAUGAACCCAUAUGGGAUUAGCUAGUAGGUGGGGUAAAGGCUCACCUAGGCGACGAUCUCUAGCUGGUCUGAGAGGAUGAUCAGCCACACUGGGACUGAGACACGGCCCAG